GAGGACCCCAAGCGAAAACCAAGGCGGUUCUGCGCAUGCUCAAAGGCUUUCCAUGAAGACCGAAAGUCCUGACGCUGUGGACUUGGGCUCUGUUUCUCCAGCAUCCUCAGCCCCUCGGCGGAAGCCCCCUACUCCAUUCUGUUACAUGUCCAUGCUUUAUGUCCAGCCAGACCCUGGCCUUCCUCCAACCACGUGGCUCCAAGUCUGGCACCCCACAGGAAUGACUAGCCCUAGCUGAAGGCACACCAAACC
ensembl:lncRNA